rnacentral:tRNA from 1 species
GGGUAGUUAGCUCAGCGGAAGAGCGCUCGCCUCACACGCGAGAGGUCAUAUGUUCAAAUCAUAUACUACCCA